rnacentral:rRNA from 1 species
AACGCUAGCUACAGGCUUAACACAUGCAAGUCGAGGGGAAACGAUAUUGGAAGCUUGCUUCCGAUAGGCGUCGACCGGCGCACGGGUGAGUAACGCGUAUCCAACCUGCCCACCACUUGGGGAUAACCUUGCGAAAGUAAGACUAAUACCCAAUGAUAUCUCAAGAAGACAUCUGAAUGAGAUUAAAGAUUUAUCGGUGAUGGAUGGGGAUGCGUCUGAUUAGCUUGUUGGCGGGGUAACGGCCCACCAAGGCUACGAUCAGUAGGGGUUCUGAGAGGAAGGUCCCCCACAUUGGAACUGAGACACGGUCCAAACUCCUACGGGAGGCAGCAGUGAGGAAUAUUGGUCAAUGGGCGAGAGCCUGAACCAGCCAAGUAGCGUGCAGGAUGACGGCCCUAUGGGUUGUAAACUGCUUUUAUAAGGGAAUAAAGUGAGUCUCGUGAGACUUUUUGCAUGUACCUUAUGAAUAAGGACCGGCUAAUUCCGUGCCAGCAGCCGCGGUAAUACGGAAGGUCCGGGCGUUAUCCGGAUUUAUUGGGUUUAAAGGGAGCGUAGGCCGGAGAUUAAGCGUGUUGUGAAAUGUAGAUGCUCAACAUCUGAAUUGCAGCGCGAACUGGCAGACUUGAGUGUGCGCAACGUAGGCGGAAUUCGUGGUGUAGCGGUGAAAUGCUUAGAUAUCACGAAGAACUCCGAUUG